ensembl:lncRNA
GCACUCUCUGCCCCACUGGGCACUCAUGCCCCCCAGGCAGCCUGGAGCCCCAGCUCUGCCCCCCAGGGCAGUAUCAGGAUGAACCUGGACAGAGUCUCUGCAAGACAUGCCCUGCUGGAAAGUUCUGUUCCUUUGGGAUUCAGAGGCCAGGCGCCAGGCCUAUUUGGCCAAUGGACUGUCCUGCUGGCUACUAUUGCCCUUUGGGUACCUGGACCCCCACCCAGCACCCAUGUCCAAGGGGAACCUUCCGAGAGUGGCCUGGUGCACGCAGUGCUACGGAUUGUAGACCUUGUCCUGCAGGACAAUUCUGUUCAGAUUCAGGAUCCGGGAAACCCUUCCCAGAUGGGCCAUGCUCAGCAGGUUAUUACUGUCCUCCUGGCCAGACCUCAGCCACCCCUACAUCUUUCCGGUGUCCCCGUGGCUUCUACUGUCCAGAGGGAUCUCCCCAGCCAAGGGCCUGUGAGAAUGGAACAUUCCAGCCCCAGGAGGCCAAGGGGUCUUGUGAGCCCUGCCCUGCAGGAUUCUACUGUGAAGCAUCAGGCACAGGUCUCACAGCCGGUGGCCCCAGCCUGUGCCUCCAGGGCUACUUCUGUCCCCCUGGCUCCCACUCAGCCACUGCCCACCCAUGCCCUCGGGGGACAUUCGGGCCCAGGCGAGGGGCCAGUGCAGAACUGGACUGUGAGCUGUGCCCAGCAGGGAUGUUCUGCUCAUCAGAAGGGCUGUCCCAGCCAUCAGGGCUCUGCCACUCAGCCCACUACUGCACAGGAGGUGCGGUGUCUCCCACCCCCCUCAAACACAAGGUGGAGGCCCCAGGACUUUCUGGGAAUGAUAUCUGCCCUCCCGGCUUCUUCUGCCCCAGAGGAACAGGCUCCCCAAUGCCAUGCCUGCCUGGGUCUUACUCCUCUGCCCCAGGCCUGGCCAGCGAGGACCAGUGCCAGCCGUGUCCUCCAGGGCACUACUGCAGCAACCCUGGGCUCUCCCAUGUCCCAGAGGCAGAACUCUGCGAUGCAGGGUGAGGGGGUCCUGACCCUGAACUCCUCAGGUGCAAAGAAGGAGGAGGGUCCCUAGGUCAGGCCUGAUAGGGCCCCAAGUUACAGAUCCCAUGGUCUCUCCCCAGUCCCUGUAAGGAGCCUGAGCCAGGGUAACUGUCGCCUAGGAUGUAGGCCUCUGAUGUGUUGUCCCUUUGAUAUAGGACUGAACUGAUCCCACCCUCCCAGCACUGACCUUCCAAGAUCCAAGGAAUGCCAAUGUGCCAGGACAGCCCUAUGGUCCCACUAAGUCUCAGGGCAGCCUCCACACCCUCCACUACCAGGCCUUGGUCUUUUCCUCGUUGGCCAAUGGCCAACCUGUGUCUGAGAUUCCUGACAGGUACAUUUUCUCCUCACUGUUGAAAGGGCUGGAGACUGGCCACCAGUAAGAAGGAAGUCCUGUUCCAUCGGUUCACAGGACAGAAAAAUCUUGGAGAGGGAAGCCAUGCUUAUCCUGGAAAAUGUCUGACCCUUCCCAGAACUGUGCCUGAGCCCCUACUGUAUAGUUUCCUAUCACAGGGGCAGAGACAUGUUUUAGAGUUGAGGACCAGAGGACCUCCUUCCAUCCCAGGGAUGACACUUGGCUGUGGCCAUACUGAGCUUGUCCUCAGCACAACUCUGAUAGCCUGGGGCUCCAAAAGCUACCCCUUUCUCUCACCUUUUGCUUGGCCAGGACCCCAUCAUCAUGCUAGAAGUGGUUCAGCCACAAUUCUUCAUUUCCUCAGGUAUAUCUGCCUGGGAGGCAGUGCUGUGCCCUCACCUUCUGAUGGAACCCACGGAUACAGAUGUCCUCCUGGCUUCCACUGUCCCUCAGGGGCUCACAGCGAGCAGCCCUGUGAACCUGGCACCUUCAGCCCAUUGCCUGGGGCUGACACCUGCCUGCCUUGCCCAGGAGGCACCUACUGCCAAAAUGUUGCUACCGUGGAGCCCACCACCUGCCCCAAAGGUCACUAUUGCCCAGGAGGGACACCCUCUGCUCUUCCCUGCCCGGAGGGAACCCUGAACCUACGGGAAGGUGCUCUCUCCCCCAGGGCCUGUCAGCCCUGUCCUGCAGGAAGAUACUGCCCUGGUGAGGGCAACGGGCAGACUGAGGAACCACCUGCACCCAGCCCCUGGCUACAAAGGUAUCAUCGGACUACAGGCCUGGAGUACUCAGUCCCUCAGGACCCUGGCAUCCAUCUCCAUAUUCCAAACCCAGUGGUCUGCCUGGAAGAAGGGGACGUGAUUCUUUUCCAGCUUCACAUUCUUCCUCACAAUCGCUCAGCCAGUCACUACCCUGUGUACCAGAUGCAGCAUUUGUUCAACAGCAACCCCAACUGGGACUUUGGGGCCUUCAGGAGACUCAGCCACCUCGUGCGAGAGACUCACCUCAACUUUUCAAGGUAA